GGGCUUCCGGUGGCGCGUGCGCGGCGGAGCGGAGGUGGGAGAGGUGCGUGGGGCGGCCGGGUCGCGAGGGGUCUCUUUGCGGUGCCGGGGCCCCUCUGCGGCCCGGCGUGGGAAGCCCGUGGCCGGCGGAGACUGCUCGGAGCUGGGCGGGGAGCGCCGCGGCAGUCCGGCCGCAGGCAGCCAUCCCCUGCGGUGGCCGGCAUCCCCUCGGGACUCCUGGAGGCCUGGCGGCUCCCGAUCCUCGUCUGCGGCAGCCGCCUGAGAGAGCAGCGCGGCCGUAGCCGGGGGCCGGAGAGCGCUGGUGGGUGCAGGUGGAUGAGUCGUGCAGGGCAACGGAGGAGAGCCCAGGGGAGCGCUGGAAGAAGGGCGCUAAGCGAUGAGCCGAGCGUGAUCUGGGCCCUGGAGUCGAGAGGAAAGGACUGAAAUGCUCGAGACGCUUUGCUGUUUGGUGCAGAGGCAAUGAACGGUGCUGCUGGGGCUGCGAGGGGGAAAGGUGCAGAGGAAUAGAAGCUCUGUGGAUGCAGCCAAGUUACGGUUUCUGGAUGGUAUUAAUCGAGAAGAGUAAUUCAGAUAAUGCUGCUGCCCAGCGACCAGAGUUGGGUACUGAGCCCGGGAGCCGCGCACGCGCGGUGGCGUCCCUGUGAUCCCCAUU